rnacentral:misc_RNA from 1 species
UACUGUAGUCGCUGCCGAGGAACGAAGGCUGCGAGCGGUUUUCAGGCUAUCGCAGUCUUCGUUCCUCGGCAGCGACUACAACG